rnacentral:sRNA from 1 species
AAGAUGAAUCUUGCUGUCGUCCUCCUCUCCAAUACGCAGCUGCUUCCACCCCAGUUGCCUCUCACUGCUCUGAUGAAGCUCCUUGUUCCUGGCAUUGUCCUUUUUGACCCUUUUAAAUGUCUCUGCAGCACCUUGCACCUUGGGCUUCGAUUGACCUCCUCCUCUAACAGAAGUUCAGGUUCGAAGUCAACAAUACCAUUCUUCACCCAGAGAUCGUUGAGUGCCGAGUGUUUAAGACGGAUAUGGAGCUGGAGGUUCUGCGCUACACCAAUAAAAUCUCCAGCGAGGCCCACCGUGAGGUAAUGAAGGCUGUAAAAGUGGGAAUGAAAGAAUAUGAGUUGGAAAGCCUCUUCGAGCACUACUGCUACUCCCGGGGUGGCAUGCGCCACAGCUCCUACACCUGCAUCUGCGGCAGUGGUGAGAACUCAGCCGUGCUACACUACGGACACGCCGGAGCUCCCAACGACCGAACGAUCCAGAAUGGGGACAUGUGCCUGUUCGACAUGGGCGGUGAGUAUUACUGCUUCGCUUCCGACAUCACCUGCUCCUUUCCCGCC